rnacentral:rRNA from 1 species
AUACGUAGGGGGCGAGCGUUGUCCGGAAUGAUUGGGCGUAAAGGGCGCGUAGGCGGCCCGGUAAGUCUGGAGUGAAAGUCCUGUUUUUAAGAUGGGAAUUGCUUUGGAUACUGUCGGGCUUGAGUGCAGGAGAGGUAAGUGGAAUUCCCAGUGUAGCGGUGAAAUGCGUAGAGAUUGGGAGGAACACCAGUGGCGAAGGCGGCCUGCUGGGCUUUUACUGACGCUGAGGCUCGAAAGGGUGGGGAUCAAACAGGAUUAGAUAACCUGGUAGUCCACACUGGAAACGAUGAUUACUAGGUGUGGGGGGACUGACCCCUUCCGUGCCGGAGUUAACACAAUAAGUAAUCCACCUGGGGAGUUCGGCCGCAAGGUUGAAACUCAAAUGAAUUGACGGGG